GAUGAACGCUAGCUACAGGCUUAACACAUGCAAGUCGAGGGGCAGCAUGAACUUAGCUUGCUAAGUUUGAUGGCGACCGGCGCACGGGUGAGUAACACGUAUCCAACCUGCCGAUGACUCGGGGAUAGCCUUUCGAAAGAAAGAUUAAUACCCGAUGGCAUAGUUCUUCCGCAUGGUAGAACUAUUAAAGAAUUUCGGUCAUCGAUGGGGAUGCGUUCCAUUAGGUUGUUGGCGGGGUAACGGCCCACCAAGCCUUCGAUGGAUAGGGGUUCUGAGAGGAAGGUCCCCCACAUUGGAACUGAGACACGGUCCAAACUCCUACGGGAGGCAGCAGUGAGGAAUAUUGGUCAAUGGACGAGAGUCUGAACCAGCCAAGUAGCGUGAAGGAUGACUGCCCUAUGGGUUGUAAACUUCUUUUAUACGGGAAUAAAGUGAGGCACGUGUGCCUUUUUGUAUGUACCGUAUGAAUAAGGAUCGGCUAACUCCGCGCCAGCAGCCGCGGUAAUACGGAGGAUCCGAGCGUUAUCCGGAUUUAUUGGGUUUAAAGGGAGCGUAGGCGGACGCUUAAGUCAGUUGUGAAAGUUUGCGGCUCAACCGUAAAAUUGCAGUUGAUACUGGGUGUCUUGAGUACAGUAGAGGCAGGCGGAAUUCGUGGUGUAGCGGUGAAAUGCUUAGAUAUCACGAAGAACUCCGAUUGCGAAGGCAGCUUGCUGGACUGUAACUGACGCUGAUGCUCGAAAGUGUGGGUAUCAAACAGGAUUAGAUACCCUGGUAGUCCACACAGUAAACGAUGAAUACUCGCUGUUUGCGAUAUACAGUAAGCGGCCAAGCGAAAGCGUUAAGUAUUCCACCUGGGGAGUACGCCGGCAACGGUGAAACUCAAAGGAAUUGACGGGGGCCCGCACAAGCGGAGGAACAUGUGGUUUAAUUCGAUGAUACGCGAGGAACCUUACCCGGGCUUGAAUUGCAACUGAAUGAUGUGGAGACAUGUCAGCCGCAAGGCAGUUGUGAAGGUGCUGCAUGGUUGUCGUCAGCUCGUGCCGUGAGGUGUCGGCUUAAGUGCCAUAACGAGCGCAACCCUUAUCGAUAGUUACCAUCAGGUUAUGCUGGGGACUCUGUCGAGACUGCCGUCGUAAGAUGUGAGGAAGGUGGGGAUGACGUCAAAUCAGCACGGCCCUUACGUCCGGGGCUACACACGUGUUACAAUGGGGGGUACAGAAGGCAGCUACACGGCGACGUGAUGCUAAUCCCUAAAGCCUCUCUCAGUUUCGGAUUGGAGUCUGCAACCCGACUCCAUGAAAGCUGGAUUCGCUAGUAAUCGCGCAUCAGCCACGGCGCGGUGAAUACGUUCCCGGGCCU
rnacentral:rRNA from 1 species